rnacentral:rRNA from 1 species
GAUGAACGCUGGCGGCGUGCCUAAUACAUGCAAGUCGAACGGAAAGGCCCUGCGUUUGCUGGGUGCUCGAUUGGCGAACGGGUGAGUAACACGUGAGUAACCUGCCCCUGUCUUUCGGAUAACUUCAGGAAACUCGGGCUCAUAUCGGAUAUGAUCUCCUGCUGCAUGGUGGUGGUUGGAAAGAUUCGGCGUUUGGGGAUGGACUCGCGGGUUAUCAGCUUGUUGGGCAGGUAGUGGCUUACCAAGGCUUUGACGGGUAGCCGACCUGAGAGGGUGACCGGCCACAUUGGGACUGAGAUACGGACCAGACUCCUACGGGAGGCAGUAGUGGGGAAUAUUGCGCAAUGGGCGGAAGCCUGAGGCAGCAGCGCCGCGUGCGGGAUGACGGCCUUCGGGUUGUAAACCGCUUUCGCCUGUGACGAAGCGUGAGUGACGGUAAUGGGUAAAGAAGCACCGGCUAACUACGUG